UACGUAGGGUGCGAGCGUUAAUCGGAAUUACUGGGCGUAAAGCGUGCGCAGGCGGUUUUGUAAGCCAGAUGUGAAAUCCCCGGGCUCAACCUGGGAACUGCAUUUGGGACUGCAAGGCUAGAGUACGGCAGAGGGGGGUAGAAUUCCUGGUGUAGCAGUGAAAUGCGUAGAUAUCAGGAGGAAUACCGAUGGCGAAGGCAGCCCCCUGGGCCAAUCCUGACGCUCAGGCACGAAAGCGUGGGGAUCAAACAGG
rnacentral:rRNA from 1 species